GAUGAACGCUAGCGGCAGGCCUAAUACAUGCAAGUCGAACGAUAGAAGAGGGCUUGCUCUCUUCGAAAGUGGCGCACGGGUGCGUAACGCGUAUGCAACCUACCUUAAUCAGGGGGAUAGCCCGAAGAAAUUCGGACUAACACCGCAUAAAAUCACAGUACAGCAUUGUACAAUGAUCAAAUAUUUAUAGGAUUAAGAUGGGCAUGCGUGACAUUAGCUAGUUGGCGGGGUAACGGCCCACUAAGGCGACGAUGUCUAGGGGAUCUGAGAGGAUGACCCCCCACACUGGUACUGAGACACGGACCAGACUCCUACGGGAGGCAGCAGUAAGGAAUAUUGGUCAAUGGAGGCAACUCUGAACCAGCCAUGCCGCGUGCAGGAAGACGGCCCUCUGGGUUGUAAACUGCUUUUAUUCGGGAAUAAACCUCAUUACGUGUAAUGAGCUGAAUGUACCGAAGGAAUAAGGAUCGGCUAACUCCGUGCCAGCAGCCGCGGUAA
rnacentral:rRNA from 1 species